rnacentral:rRNA from 1 species
GAUGAACGCUGGCGGCGUGCCUAACACAUGCAAGUCGAGCGCGAUUAAGUGGAGUGAGAACUUCGGUUCAAGUGAAGCUUAUGAAAGCGGCGGACGGGUGAGUAACGCGUGGGUAACCUGCCCCAUACAAAGGGAUAGCCACUGGAAACGGUGAUUAAUACCUUAUAAGUCGGUAGUCUCGCAUGAGACAGCCGACAAAGAUUUAUCGGUAUGGGAUGGACCCGCGUCUGAUUAGCUAGUUGGUGAGGUAACGGCUCACCAAGGCGACGAUCAGUAGCCGACCUGAGAGGGUGAUCGGCCACACUGGAACUGAGACACGGUCCAGACUCCUACGAGAGGCAGCAGUGGGGAAUAUUGCACAAUGGGCGCAAGCCUGAUGCAGCAACGCCGCGUGAGUGAUGAAGGCUUUCGGGUCGUAAAACUCUGUCCUAUGGGAAGAAAAAAUAGACGGUACCAUAGGAGGAAGCCCCGGCUAACUACGUGCCAGCAGCCG